rnacentral:rRNA from 1 species
UACGUAGGAUGCAAGCGUUGUCCGGAAUUAUUGGGCGUAAAGAGCUCGUAGGCGGCUUGUCGCGUCGAAUGUGAAAACCUGCAGCUCAACUGCAGGCUUGCAUUCGAUACGGGCAGGCUCGAGUUCGGUAGGGGAGACUGGAAUUCCUGGUGUAGCGGUGAAAUGCGCAGAUAUCAGGAGGAACACCGGUGGCGAAGGCGGGUCUCUGGGCCGAUACUGACGCUGAGGAGCGAAAGCGUGGGGAGCGAACAGG